UACGUAGGGUGCAAGCGUUGUCCGGAAUUAUUGGGCGUAAAGAGCUCGUAGGCGGUUUGUUGCGUCGGCUGUGAAAUCCCGAGGCUCAACCUCGGGUCUGCAGUCGAUACGAGCAAACUAGAGUGUUGCAGGGGAGACUGGAAUUCCUGGUGUAGCGGUGAAAUGCGCAGAUAUCAGGAGGAACACCGAUGGCGAAGGCAGGUCUCUGGGCCACUACUGACGCUGAGAAGCGAAAGCAUGGGGGAGCGAACAGG
rnacentral:rRNA from 1 species